rnacentral:misc_RNA from 1 species
GAUGAAGAACGUAGCGAAAUGCGAUAGGUAAUGUGAAUUGCAGAAUUCAGUGAAUCAUCGAAUCUUUGAACGCACCUUGCGCCCUUUGGCUAUUCUGAAGGGCAUGCCUGUUUGAGUAUCGUGAACACCUCAACUCUCAUGGUCUGCCAUGAUGAGCUUGGACUUUGGGGGUCUUGCUGGCCUACUGUCAGCUCCUCUCAAAUGAAUCAGCUUACCAGUGUUUGGUGGCACCACAGGUGUGAUAACUAUCUACGCUUGUGGUUUUCUGCCAGGUAACCUCCAGUGAUGGAGGUUCGCUGGAGCUCACAAAUGUCUCUCCUCAGCGAGGACAGCUUUUUGAACGUUUGAUCUCAAAUCAGGUAGGACUACCCGCUGAACUUAAGCAUAUCAAUAAGCGGAGGA